AAAGUGAGCUGGGAUCUGUGAGCCCAGAAAAGCAAUGUUCCACCAAAGUCAAGGGAGGCUGGAAGGUCAAAUUGGAGGUGUCUAGGAGUGUCAAAUAUUGCAGAAGGUGUUAAAAAGGACUGAAAAGUGUCUGCUGAGAUUUGCUAUCCAGAAGCACAGCUCAAAAUGGCCUCUGUAGAAUAAACGGAAUGAGCUAGAUGUGGAACUCCAGACACAGCGGUCAAUUAAGGGCUGUUCAUUAACAUUUCAAGCACUGCAUCUAGAUAGGGCAUUGUGAGAGCAGCGAUGAUGAUGUCUGCAACGUGCUUGGCCCUUCAUAUGUGUCCGAUCCAGUUUACUUUCGGGGACAUCCGUCAUCACCGUUGGAAUCCAGACACACACCAUGAAACAUAAACAGACUGAGGCCAACAAAGGUGAAGAUACUUGCCUAAAUAACACAGCUUAUUUGCAGAAGAGCUAGCAAGUGUUGGGUCAAUACUAUUUUAGCUAUAUUGUGUGACUUUUGUACCAGAAAACUUGCAAAAAUCAUCAGGGCCAGAUGGGCCUACAAGAUAUUGGGUCAUUAGGACACAAAAAUUAGGUAAAAUCAAGGGCGUCGGUGCUCACCCAGUAUGAUGAUCAUAUGAAUUGGUGGUUGGAAAAGCAUUGAAAUGUCACUGACUUUGACUGUCAGAUGCGUGUGGUCAGGCAGGCAUGUGUUUCUCAGAUGCUCAUUGUAGCUGUUGCUUAUCCAUCUUUAUUACCUGAUCCAGUGACUCACAAGGAAGAUGGCAUUAUUGUGUGUGGAACAGCAGCAGAGCUUACUAACAUUCCCAGCUGCAAAACAAAAAAUAACGAACCAGAGACUUCAGCUCAGUUCUUGUGAUUGGAGUUGUGUUCCCUCCAGAGGGAUGAGCAUGGUAUAAGACGCCUUGCCCUGCACCCCAUCACGG
rnacentral:lncRNA from 1 species